GCAUAUCAAUAAGCGGAGGAAAAGAAACCAACAGGGAUUGCCCUAGUAACGGCGAGUGAAGCGGCAACAGCUCAAAUUUGAAAUCUGGCGCAAGCCCGAGUUGUAAUUUGUAGAGGAUGUUUCUGGCGACGCGCCUUCCGAGUUCCCUGGAACGGGACGCCAUAGAGGGUGAGAGCCCCGUACGGUUGGAUGCCUAGCCUCUGUGAAACUCCUUCGACGAGUCGAGUAGUUUGGGAAUGCUGCUCUAAAUGGGAGGUAUACGUCUUCUAAAGCUAAAUACCGGCCAGAGACCGAUAGCGCACAAGUAGAGUGAUCGAAAGAUGAAAAGCACUUUGAAAAGAGGGUUAAAAAGUACGUGAAAUUGUUGAAAGGGAAGCGUUCAUGACCAGACUUGGGCAGGUUGAUCAUCCGUGGUUCUCCGCGGUGCACUCUGCCUGCCCAGGCCAGCAUCAGUUCGCUCCGGGGGAUAAAGGCUCUGGGAAUGUGGCUCCUUCGGGAGUGUUAUAGCCCACUGCGUAAUACCCUGGGGUGGACUGAGGUUCGCGCUCUGCAAGGAUGCUGGCGUAAUGGUCAUCAACGACCCGUCUUGAAACACGGACCAAGGAGUCGUCUUCGUAUGCGAGUGUUCGGGUGUCAAACCCCUACGCGUAAUGAAAGUGAACGUAGGAGAGAGCUUCGGCGCAUCUCCGACCGAUCCUGAUGUUCUCGGAUGGAUUUGAGUAAGAGCAUACGGGGCCGGACCCGAAAGAAGGUGAACUAUGCCUGUAUAGGGUGAAGCCAGAGGAAACUCUGGUGGAGGCUCGCAGCGGUUCUGACGUGCAAAUCGAUCGUCAAAUAUGGGCAUGGGGGGCGAAAGACUAAUCGAACCUUCUAGUAGCUGGUUUCCG
rnacentral:rRNA from 1 species